rnacentral:misc_RNA from 1 species
CGCACUGGAUGAUAGCCUUUUUUAUGACGCAAUAUAUUUUCGCAAAUUUUUUAUAGUUUAUACGUUAGAACCUCAGAAGAUCCAACGUUAGAAGAAGAUUUAUUAAAGUAAUUUGCAGCAAAUAUGGCAAAGCAAUUUUUGAUACAAAUACUAACUGUCGCUACAAUCUUCCUUCUUAUUGGGAUGUGUGUUUCAUUUCCUCACUACAGAGACACAUCUACUCAAUUGGAAAACUGUGAUAAAAGUGUCCCUCACAUUGUUAUCAUAAAUUCAACUGAUGGAAGAAUAUUAAAUUGUCACAAAUGUACCUUUUGUCAACAGGGCUAUGGGUUGAGCACUCCAUGCAAUGGUCAGAAUGUGAGCCAGACAGAUUUAAAUGUUGAGUGCAGGCCUUGUGUUGCUGGUGUGAACUUUUCUACUGGUGAAAUGAUUCAAUGUCAACCCUGUCAGAAACCAUGCCCUAAUGGAAUGAAGAUUGAGGGAAAAUGUGAGGUGAUAGGGGACAAACGAACUUGUAGGAAGUGUGAAAUAUCAAAUUGGUACUAUAAUACAACACUGGAGACGUGCUUGCCUUGUGUUUGUAAGAACAUGACAGCAGAAGUAAAGCAUAUAUGCAUAAGAUUAGGCUUCAAGUUUGAUAUGCAAUGCAAGCAUAUUAAUUUUAGUGAUGACUCAACAAGAAACACAUCAACAAACACAUCAACAAACGUGCCAUUUUAUCCACAAAACAAAGAAAGAGAUAAUUGGAGGAAACCAUUGAUUAUAACAGUUGUCAUCAUUGGUAUAAUUGUUAUCGGGAUAAUUGCAUAUUGUUGCUGUAUCAAGGGAUCCAGAGAGUUAUGUAUUAACCAUCCCUGGUGUAGCAAAGACACAAUCUGCUGUAUAUUCUGUUAUAACCAGAACACAAGCAGACCACCAUCAUAUCAUUCUGAUAUUGGUGAAGAUAGACGGGUGUAUAAUAAUGGUUGUGCUGAACAAGUUAGAUUUCUUCGUCAAAGUUCCUGCCCUGUGACGCAAAAUGAAAAAAUGGUAGUCAAGGGCAGUCCUCCUGUAAAUCUUGAACAACAAGAUGUGAAAUUUUCUUUGAAAAGUACAGACUGUGAGCAAAAGAAGCUGAAAUUCUUUCAGAUGAAUUCAGAGAUCUGUCGUGAAAUAUGUCAAAAACUUAAGCAGAACAUUCAGACAGGCAUGGGUUAUCCAACUCUUGCUGGUUUUAUGGGGUUUUCAGCAGACAAAGUUAAGAGCUUUGAAUGUGAAGGUGAUGUGUGUGAGAAUAUGAUGAUGUGUUGGAGCAGUUUGGAUCAAACAAAUAAUAAUGUGUUAAAGUUGAAGGAUUUGGUGGUCAGAUUAAAGAGGGAUGAUAUCUUGGAAUUGCUUAAGUCUGAACUAAAAAGAAAAAGUUAUGAAUGUGGCUGUCCUGAGUGUAUGGUGAUUCUGUGACUUGGUAAGAUCAGUCAAUUAAGUCAAACUACAGUUUAUAAAACACAUUGCUUACUAGAGCUGUUAAAUAUGUAAGUAGAUCAAGUACAUUAUAUGUCUUGUAGAUGUUUCGGGCCGUUUUGGGGAUUAUAUGAUGUAACGUACCGACCCGGCGGACCCCCUAUGCUAUUGAAGUCGUAAACUGCGUCGUUACUCGAUUAUACCUCAUAUAUUGGUUUCAUUCGAAAUAAAUUUAGCGGGCCCUACUAAAAACCGCCCAGGACUGAAGAAAAACCGCCCGAAUUUUUCAAUAGUUCGCUUGAAUUUGAUUUCACAUUCCCGCUCCUUUGGGACGUUGAUGUUUUCGCCUUUGGUGUGACGUCAUAACGUAGGAUACGACUAUUUAUCACACGUUAUGACGUAGUAAUCACACGUUAUGACGUAGUAAUCACACGUUAUGACGUAGUAAUCACACGUUAUGGCGUCACACGAUUUGGACAUGACGAUUUCACACACUAAUCAUUAGCCAAUCAGAAGCUUUGACUUCUUUCAAAUGAAUAAAUAAAAAAAUUAUUAUAUGGCAAGCGUCAUUCCGGUGAAAUGGAGCUCAAUGCUUGGCUGAGAAGAAUUUUGAACGGUCCAUUACUUUCCCGUAAUGGACCAGCGUUACCGGCGAUCCAUUACGAGAUGAAAAACAGACAAAUUCUGAAUGAAAAAGGCAAAAAUAAAUGCUGAAGAGAAAAUUUAAUUGCUUUUGAAAUUAAUGAGACGUCUCCAGACAGUUUAGGUAAACUAAAUGAUUCAAUAUUCUGUUUUUGUUUUGUGCACGAAUUCACGCAUUUCUAGGUUUGUUUCAAGUGCAAAUAUAUUACUUAUUGUCUUAUAUAUUACUUAUAUAUUACUUAUAUAUUACGCCAUAUAAUAAACUUUUUUAUUAACCUUGCUUGCUCGGUUUUUACCGAGAAUAUCGGACCUCAAUCUUUUUGUACAAACCUCGCUUUUCGAUCUCGGUCUGUUCAAAAAGACCUCAGUCCGAUAUUUCUCAGUAAUACAGCUAAAUAUUUUUUACAAUAGAAAAUAUUGUUUUAAAUUUCAUUUCAGCCUGCUAAUCUGUGCUAGCUAGUCGCGAAUGUUCUUGUCUGACCAAGCAUUAUAAUCGCUUCAGGUUUCUGUCGGGCGGUUUUUUUAAAUCUCGGACGGUUUUUCUAUAUUUUUCGGGUGGUGUCGGGCGGUUUUUAGUACGACCGAGAACUAGCGAGUGAUUGUCUGCCCUGAGGCUGUGUGUUUUAUCUAUGGUUUUAUGAAAACUAAUGCAGCGAGCAAGAUUACCGACACGAUUCACACAAAUAUGUGCUGGCCGCUUCUCAAUCUCAGUGGUCUGAAAAGUGAAAACCAUUUGGUUUACCAUCCUCGUCCCCAGGGCCUUGCUCUCCACAUAGGAGAGCAACGGAGCUAGGCCCUAGGGACGAGGAUGUUGGUUUACUAAAAAAAAUGCAGUAUCCUCUAUUACUUGAAGUUGGCAUCAUGCUUAUAGCUGUAUCGAGACACCUGAGAGUGCCGAGUGCGGGGAGAUUCGUCGAAUGCCCGGGGUGAAAACAUAAUUGUAUUGGAUAAAACUUGAAUGUUUAUCAACCACUAUAUGAUUAUUUAUUCGAUGCCCGGGAUGAAGAUUUUGGAUGUUUCUUGUAAUAUAUAGCAUUGCAAAAUCUUGUAUCUUCCAUGACCCGGCGACUCCCGAGCAUUCAUGGAGAUAACACGUUUUUUGAAUGCGACAACUUAUUAUAAAGAAGUGUUUUUUUAUCGAAUGACUAGUUAUUCAUAGUGUUAGUGUAAAAAUUCAAAUUUUAUCUUAUACAAUUAUCCUUUAGUUUAUCACAUGAUUCCACUCCAGUCCCCAGGGAUUCCACUCGAACAAGUAGUGGAAAAAAUAUUAAUUUAAAAAAAAUACGUUUGAAAAUACGUUUUGGGCGCAAGUUGCAAUUUGAUGUUAUUAAAGGACCUGCAAUGCCUGAAUCAUCACUUUGUAACUUACACACAAAACAACGUUUAUCGGAUCAGAGAAAAUUAUUUUCUUUCAACCUUUCUUUAAUGUGUCGUGUUGUAUGCCAUGUAUGGCGCAACCGUGUAUUUUGUUUGGUUAAUUUACCAGGCCAAUAUUAGAUCGGUUACAACCAACACUCCACUUUUGCGUUUUUUUGCACGUGCCAACUUUUAAAACAUCCCAAGAAUCAAAGUCUAUAGUCUAUACCUCAAUGUCAGCAUGGCCGUUUAUCGGCGUGUUCGCACGUGCAAUAUUAAAACGUGAAAGUGUGGAUAUCAGCGCUAACUAAAACAGUGUUAUAAUAAUAAGUAUAUAAUGAGUACAGUAUUCAUGUGUAAUGUUUUAUUCACGCAGUUGUUCACGACGUUAUCCAUAGCAGGCUAAUGGAUAGAAUGUAUGAAUAUUGGCUUUGAGUUGUAAUCUAUGUAAUUUUACCAGUUUACUACAUCAUCAACUGUGCGUAUUUUGUAACUUUCACAGCAUUAACAGUUAUUGAUUGCAGUACGACUGUCCGUAAUUUACUUUUCGUAACGUUUACGUAAAGCUGGUCUUGUAAAGUAAUCGUGACACAAAGCCUUCAAAGACUUCAUUUGACACGUGAAUCAGUAAAAUGGUUAUACAGUUUAUGGUCAAUCUAAUAUAAAUGGGAAAAUGACUUGUUGCCGCCAUGCAAGCCGUCGCUAGAAGCUUAAUUGGGGGGGGGAGUAGUGCAUAUUCAUCUUAUGAUUUCAUCUUAUGCCCGACUGAUUUCUUUUGUUAGCUAUUGUUUCUAUGGUUGUACGAACGUGAAUAUAUGAAUAUACACCCCACAAUUAAGCUUCUAGCGACUGCCCUGGCGCCAUGCAAAAAAGGGUCAAUACAUAUAUCCAAUAGGAACGAUUUAGUCAUUUACUUUCGAUCAUUAUCAGCAACACUGUCCCAACUUGGCUGGAUUUUAGAAAUGUAAUAUAUUUAUAGAUGGUACAUUGCCAGAUUAGUUUGGUUAGGAUUUAUGUCACUUAUUGUAAAAGUAUUAAGAGUUAAGUUGCUUUAACAAUAAAUUGAUUUGUGUUUCAAAGUUU